rnacentral:rRNA from 1 species
CACGUAGGGUGCGAGCGUUGUCCGGAAUUAUUGGGCGUAAAGAGCUCGUAGGCGGUGUGUCGCGUCGGCCGUGAAAACCUGCAGCUUAACUGUGGGCUUGCGGUCGAUACGGGCAUCACUGGAGUUCGGCAGGGGAGACUGGAAUUCCUGGUGUAGCGGUGAAAUGCGCAGAUAUCAGGAGGAACACCGGUGGCGAAGGCGGUUCUCUGGGCAUUACCUGACGCUGAGGAGCGAAAGCGUGGGGAGCGAACAGG